AAGUCGUAACAAGGUUUCCCGUAGGUGGACCUGCGGAAGGAUCAUUACUGAGUUAGGGGUCUUCAUGGCCCGGACCCUCCAACCCUUUGUGUUAAAUCAUACCACGUUGCUUCGGCGGGCCCGUCCUCUCGAGGACCCGCCGGGGCAGGUUUUCCACCUCUCUGGCCCGUUGCCCCAGCCCGGGUGGGCCCAAAAUCCCACAAAAAGCUCUUGAUAAAUCACUGUCGUCUGAGUUACAUUUAUUUAAUUAAAAAAUUAAAC
rnacentral:misc_RNA from 1 species